UCCUCACCUCACCGAACAAUUCUAACCUUCUUCAUGUUUAACCAAUAGUGCCGUAACAUCGUUCACUUCUCCCUUCUCAUUUUUCUUUCAUUUGUCAUUACGUUCCUACAUCGUGUCGUCGUACAUAUUUCUAGGUUAGAUCUACUUCACUUAAAGGUUAUAACUUUCUCUAGUUACGUAUAAUUCGUAAAUUUAAUAACGUUAUGUAUACAUUUUAAAUCUACGUUGUAUUUCUCCAGGGACGGAGGGAUGAAGGGAGAGAUAUUUAUAGGUCGAAAGGAUUGGCGAAGGGAAGCAGAUGGGGGAGGGAAAAAAAUUUUGGUAAAAUUUCGACGAAACCUAUUUUAAUACGUUACUGAGUCAUAAGAUACGACGUAUGUGUUGUAUGUCUCGUUAGGUUAAAUAGUCAUUUCGAAUGAUUGUGAUGAUGUUACUUAUGACGUUGCGGUUUUAUGAUAGGCGAUAGGUUAGACGAUUUUAUAUAUAUAUAUAUCCAUUUCCUUUUUUGUAAAUAAUUUUUCUACUUCAGAUUAUAUGUUAAUAACUGUAACAUAAUUGUAUGUUAAAUACUUGAUUUAAAUACAUAUAUUAUAAUUAUUAUCUAACAAUCUUGUUUUGCGUUUUAUUGUAAAAAA